GAUCAGACUCUUGUCUUGGCUUCCUUCUUCACAUCCUUUGUCCCCUAUUCUCUUCCAGGUACACCCCUGGACCAGUCGUUUACAAAUGGCGCCCAGUGUGUGGCUGUUUGGAGGUCUCCUGGAGGAGAAUGUCAUCCCCAGUGAAUAGGCAGGCCUGUCUUUCUUGUUUCUCAGAGCCUUUGCUCCCCCUCAGAGCUUUUGCUCCUCCUUGGAGCCUUUGCUUCCCCGCUUCUGGCAACCAUGGACUACCCGACCUUGGUUCAGAGGCUUGGUGUGUGUUUCUCUAUGGAUGACACAGAUCUCAGUGCGGUCACUUUGUCAAUCUGUGCUCUGUGGGUGGCACUCCUGAGGUAGGGCCACUAUGGGGUCUUACAACAUUUUGGUGCACCUGCCAGGAACUGUGCUCCCCCAGACUACAAUUGUUGAGGAUAUCGGAGUUCUUACUGGAAGCCUAGUGAUGUUUGGAGACUGGAUCUCUUGAGAGGCAGAGCCACCGAGCUGACACUGAAGGGAGGUACUCCUUAAGCAAAAUCUAAGUCCAGAGAGACAGCCGGUAACAGACCAGCUGCCCCUCUGCUCACCGUUCUGUUUCACAGGCACAAAGCUUGCAUUUGUAUUUGCAAUGGCCUUUUCAUUCCAAGAAAGCUGCCUUGUUUGUUUAGCUGUGUGACUGAAUGAUAUUUGUCACCUGAUCUGGUUGUUCCACCAGCUCUCUCCAGGCCACCCUCUAGCUUUCUUGCCUGGCCCCUUUCUCCUGUUCUUAAGAAUUUUAUCACCUAAUACACUGCAUUGUUUGACUUAUAAUUGCUCCUGUCCUACUAAUAUACAUGUCCCAGACUCCCGUUGUGAAGGUUCUAAUUCUAAAACAAGGGGAUGAUGCAUCCC
ensembl:lncRNA